rnacentral:tRNA from 1 species
GGGGAUUUAGCUCAGUGGCAUAAGCACCUGCCUUGCAAACAGGCAGUCGUGAGUUCAAUCCCCA